AAGCCGUGGUGUGGGCAUUGGUUAGUGUAGCUUCUAAACCAUUCCCAAGCUUCACUAAAGCUCUCGUUAUUGUGCUGCGUGAAACUUGAGAUCUGAUUCCUGAGCUU
rfam:Eutrema salsugineum unplaced genomic scaffold scaffold_12, whole genome shotgun sequence.